rnacentral:rRNA from 1 species
UACGAAGGGGGCUAGCGUUGCUCGGAAUCACUGGGCGUAAAGGGUGCGUAGGCGGGUCUUUAAGUCAGGGGUGAAAUCCUGGAGCUCAACUCCAGAACUGCCUUUGAUACUGAAGAUCUUGAGUUCGGGAGAGGUGAGUGGAACUGCGAGUGUAGAGGUGAAAUUCGUAGAUAUUCGGAGGAACACCAGUGGCGAAGGCGGCUCACUGGCUCGGUACUGACGCUGAGGAGCGAAAGCGUGGGGAGCAAACAGG